GGAUGGUUACAAGAUACAGAGGUUUAACUAAAUAUCCAACUCUGGUUUCUCUCCCUGCUCUACGUGGAAUCCGGGCCCCUGUGGACACUGACCACCAUGCCGGCUCUGACUUGGCUCUCCCACCACAGGCCGUCGCGCCCUGGAGACAGUGGAAUUUUCCACGGCUGUCGAGUUGACAGAAAGCACUGCAUCCCCUGCGACCAACCCCUCGGAGAAAGGGGAGCUGAGGGAUAAAAGUGCCACACAGAAGGGGAGGGUCCAGAGCCCAGCACUACCUAGGAUCUGAGGGCCCCAGGGAGAAGAGCCAGAAGCUUCAGGACCCAGUAAGGCCCUGGCACCACUGGAAAUGAAAAUCUGGCAACUUUGUGCAUUCUUUUAAUGCAGUAAUCAAUAAAGUCUAA